rnacentral:rRNA from 1 species
AGUCUGCAACCCGACUACAUGAAGCUGGAAUCGCUAGUAAUCGCAGGUCAGCAUACUGCGGUGAAUACGUUCCCGGGUCUUGUACACACCGCCCGUCACACCAUGGGAGCCGGGAACACCCGAAGUCGGUAGUCUAACCUCGUGAGGACGCCGCCGAAGGUGGGCUUGAUAAUUGGGGUGAAGUCGUAACAAGGUAGC